CCCAUAGGGGCAGAGAAUCCGAUUCCCCGUCGGAUGCGGGUAAAAUUGACAUCCCUAGCUUGUUCCUUUCACUAUUCAGGAGGAAAUGCAACACCAGCACUGUUCAAAGAGUUUAUUGGUAAUGUCCAGACGAUUCGCACGCUCCUCCAUGACUAUAGAAUAUCGCAAAAUAACUAGAGUGGAACUCUCAUCUGCUCAUGAAACCAUAUACCUGAUCAUUUUAAGUGUUUGAGGCCGGCUUAUUCAGCUUGCUGUGUUAAGGGCUAUCAUGACCCGUGUAUCCGGGGACAGGCGCAACUUCAAAACUGAUCGGGAAGCUCAAACUGAGUGGCUAGAAACUGGGGACUCGCCAAUUGAGUUUGGAACUCUGGUCGGUUACUUUGACCGGAGGAGUCAUGAUGAUCGGCCAGAACUAUACUCACCUUUGGAGGUCUUUUCUGUUGAAUCACCAGCCAGAACCGUGUGUCUGUCCACUACGUUGCACUUGGGAAGCUUAAAACAUAGCAGAGCCUUUUUUUUUGCAUUAUCUCUUCCUUUCUAUUUUAUUUUCAUUUUCUCUUUCAUUCCACCUUCUUGGACUUCACGCUCCACCGCCACACCCACCAAUAAGAGUGUAUGCAUGCACUUUUCCAUUUUUAUUUUCCUUCAGCUUUGAUUUUUGUAUUCCACCGCCACAGCCACCAAUGAGAAAAAAGCAUUCAAUAUUUGAACUCUAUUUGCCUUUCUUUUCUGAAAUCCACCGUAACCCAGCAUCAAUGAAAAUGAAGCUUUAGCAUUAACCUCUCUUUCUCUCUGUACACCCCACACCCACAAUUUACAAUCUCUUGAGCUUAGAAAAUACAUGCCAGCAGGGGAGAUGGCAGAUGCGCAUGCAACAUUUCCUGAUUUCUCCUCUAUUCUUGAUAAAAGCAAUACUACGUUGACUGCGGGAGAUACAAAUAAAAUGGACACCGAAGGAACUGCAUGCGUAUAAUGUUGAUAUGGAAAGCCUAAGGCAACAUCACCUAUACAGUGACAUUCCUGAUAUCUAGCAUAGUGCCGCUGUUGAUGAAGUGUGACUGUGUAUGUUCAUAAAGUGGCUUUGGCUUGUGCUUGGAGGUAGGAGUUACACGCUGUAAACAUACUCUGAGCGACGGAACAGCAGCGAAGAUGCCUCUUCCGACGAACUAAAUCAGCGGCCUGGAGGGAUAGAAUCUCCGGCCCCUUCUACUUCUCCUCGCAGGGUGAAUUCACCAGUUGAGAAGGCUUUUUGAAUGGGAUACAAAAAUAGGACGUUUUUUUUUUAUACAAACAUUGGAAAAGCUACAUUGAGGAAUGCAUGUUUACUUUUUUAAACAUGCAUAUGAGGAAUGCAUUAUUAGCUUUUAAUAAAAUGUAUUCUCAGAAAGAGUACGAUACAUUAUGCGUAGAUAGUACGGAGAUAAUACGGUAGAAGACAAAGACGAAUGCGCGACAUCGAUCUGCGUCUGUUCGGGCGGUGGACGGCGGCGUUGUGUUUGGCGGACAACGGCGGUGCGCGGUGGUCGACCGCGUGUGGUGGUUUGUGGUGGUCGACGGCAUGCGAUGGUUUGUGGUGGUCGACGGUGUGCGGUGCUUGAGGCAGAAACCGGCGACAUUUACACUUCUUACUUCAAACUGACAAAAACUUAUAUGUAAGCUCUAAACUUGCUAAGUUUUUCUGAUGUGUAUUAUGAAUAAUGGGGGGUUUGGGUGGUGAUGUUUUUCUGAUGUGCAGAGGAUGAGAGGCUCUGCAUUAUCUUUAUAUUUUCCAGUGUCUCACUACUGGCGCAUCGCUCGAUUUUCCUUUUGUAUUUUUUCCAGAACACAAUUCCUCCAAUUCAGAGUCUGAUCGCAACGGAGAUACAUUCUCUUUCACUUUUGUGCAAUUUAGAUUCUCUCCGAGACCUUGAUUUGUAUUUUCCUCUGAAAUUGAAGCUUCGUGCACAUCUUUCUCCA